CCUACGGGUGGCAGCAGUGGGGAAUUUUGCGCAAUGCUCGUAAGUGUGACGCAGCGAUGCCGCGUGAAUGACGAAGGCCUUCCGGUCGGCAAGUUCUUUCGACAGGGGAGAAAAUGCCUAUAAGUACCUGUGUAUGUGUUUACGUUACCUGUAUAAGCAGCCCCGGCUAACUCCGUGCCAGCAGCCGCGGUAAUACGUAGGGGGCUAGCGUUGUCCGGAAUUACUGGGCGUACGGGGAGUGUAGACGGCUUGUCAAGUUAAGUGUGAAAGCCUGCGGCUUAACCGCAGAAUUGCAAUUAAAACUGACGCGCUAGAGUGCAGGCGAGGUGAGCGGAAUUCAUAGUGUAGCGGUGGAAUGCGUAGAUAUUAGGAGGAACACCAGAGGCGAAGGCGGCUCACCGGACUGUAACUGACGUUGAGGCUCGAAAGCGUGGGGAGCAAACAGGAUUAGAUACCCCUGUAGUC
rnacentral:rRNA from 1 species